CAGGUAGUCUCGGGUUCGGUACCGUGGUGCGCUCCCCGGUCCGCAUGACAGCUUUCACAUUACCAAUUUUCAUGCAAACCGUGCUCUGUUUCGAACUAAACUGCCAGUGUGAAAGCACCCAUAGUAUUUGGGUCCGAACCGCGGUCCGAUUACGUCAUCAACUAUUGUGACUUCUCUUUAUCGUCUUUUUGGAGUUUGUGAUGUCUUUGAGCUGCAAGACAUUUGUCUGAUUGGUUGUUCUCCAUGUUGGAUGAGUAGUGCUCAGCUUCUCUGUGGAUAUUGUCUACCUGUGCGGCUGUGUUUUUCUCCUCUGCUUCAUUGAGCAGAAUGUGGGCUUCCUUUUAUGGGCGAUCUCCAAACUUGUCUCCACAGGACCAAAGAACUCAAACACUAUAAAAAAUGAAAGCAAGAAGAGAGCAACUACUGAGACAUUCAGACUGAGGAACAUGGCUAACUGUGUAAUCUGUGAUGUCAUUUAACCCCUACCCCUUACAUCUUGAAGGUAUUUGAAAGAUUUACAGAUUUACAAGG